AGUAUGAUGUCUCACUUACUUGAAUGAAGCGUAGAGAUUGAAUCUGUGCUCCAAGUUGGCCAAUUUUGGUAAGCAAAAUUGGCGCUGUGGGACGAAUCAAAAAUUGAGUUAAAGUAUAAGUUUAGAAUACAUUUCUCUCCAUUUGUUUUAAAAAUUAUUAAACAAUU
rfam:Onchocerca flexuosa genome assembly, scaffold: OFLC_contig0031732